rnacentral:rRNA from 1 species
UACGGAGGGGGCAAGCGUUGUUCGGAAUUACUGGGCGUAAAGGGCACGUAGGCGGCGAUGCGGGUCAGAUGUGAAAGCCCCGGGCUCAACCUGGGAAUAGCAUUUGAAACUGCAUUGCUUGAGGACGGAAGAGGAGAACGGAAUUCCCAGUGUAGAGGUGAAAUUCGUAGAUAUUGGGAAGAACACCAGUGGCGAAGGCGGUUCUCUGGUCCGUUACUGACGCUGAGGUGCGAAAGCGUGGGGAGCAAACAGG